UUUUCGACCUGAACUCAGACGUGACUACCCGCUGAACUUAAGCAUAUCAUUUAGCGGAGGA
rnacentral:rRNA from 1 species